CCUACGGGAGGCAGCAGUGAGGAAUAUUGGACAAUGGGCGCAAGCCUGAUCCAGCCAUGCCGCGUGCAGGAUGAAGCAUCUAUGGUGUGUAAACUGCUUUUAUACAGGAAGAAACCUCCCGACGUGUCGGGAAUUGACGGUACUGUAAGAAUAAGGAUCGGCUAACUCCGUGCCAGCAGCCGCGGUAAUACGGAGGAUCCAAGCGUUAUCCGGAAUCAUUGGGUUUAAAGGGUCCGUAGGCGGGCCAGUAAGUCAGUGGUGAAAUCUCUCCGCUCAACGGGGAAAUGGCCAUUGAUACUGCUGGUCUUGAAUUAUUAGGAAGUAACUAGAAUAUGUAGUGUAGCGGUGAAAUGCUUAGAGAUUACAUGGAAUACCAAUUGCGAAGGCAGGUUACUACUAAAUGGAUUGACGCUGAUGGACGAAAGCGUGGGUAGCGAACAGGAUUAGAUACCCUGGUAGUCCACGCCGUAAACGAUGGAUACUAGCUGUUGGGGGCAACUUCAGUGGCUAAGCGAAAGUGAUAAGUAUCCCACCUGGGGAGUACGUUCGCAAGAAUGAAACUCAAAAUGAAAUUGACGA
rnacentral:rRNA from 1 species